GUGAGUGAAAGCUCACUGUAGAGGCUACAAGCUGAGUGCCUGGUCACUCACCCAAGCACCUCGGGGAAGGUCUGAGACAAGAGCCAACAACUGUCCUUGCAGGACAUCAUCUGAUGCAGGACAUCAUCUGAUGCAGGUGAGCAUGUACACAGAAAUCGUGGGCCAAUGUGAGGUGUCAUAGCAGGAGAUGUUGAUAUGUGCUGACAACUGAUGCGCCCUCACUGGUGUGGAAGUGCUUGUGGCUGGCAGCUGAGUUCAAUGUGUGAGCUGCUGUAAAGCUGCAGAACCCAAUUCAGACUACUCUCCACUCAC
ensembl:ribozyme RNaseP_nuc Nuclear RNase P